CCGUCAAGCCAUGGAAGCCGGGUGUACCUAAAGUCGGUAACCGCAAGGAGCCGCCUAGGGUAAAAUCGGUAACUGGGGCUAAGUCGUAACAAGGUAGCCGUACCGGAAGGUGCGGCUGGAAUACCUCCUUUUUAGAGCUUUUAC
rnacentral:rRNA from 1 species